UUCGUAAACACUUAUAGCAGUCAUAUUUUGUUAAUUAACUAGGGAAAUGAAUUAAUAUUCUAAAUUAUUGUUCGUACAGCAUACUGUAAAUUCAUAUAGAAAUUUAGCUAGACAUGUAGAUGAACCAUUUUCUUCAGUUAUGUAUGUAUGCAUGCAUGCAUGGAGAAUGAGCGGUGGUUAAACUAUGAACGACACAAACAGCGACGAAGAUAUCUUUAUACCGCAAAAGGAUGGACUGGUCAUCGCGACAUAAGAUCGUUGCAGAAAUAUGAAAGACCCGAUAUUAAAACAAAACUGAUUGAAAUAUCAAAAUCUUUGGAUUGUCGCGUUAGCAGGGGCUGCAAAGUUAACAGUGCGAGUGAAGACCCGAUGCCGAUGGCUGAGAAGAGAAAUUCUACGAAGGAAGAGAUGCAGCAUAAACAUAUGGAAAGGAAGAGAGCACGGCUAGAAAUGCCGGAGGGAAGUUCUUUUUAACUUCUAUUAAUUUGAACAAUUUGAGUUUGAGUUUUAUCGUACGAAAUAUAUAGCUAUAGCGUGUUAGGGACAGAGUGGAACAACUGGUACAUGUAUAGUAUACGGUACAUUGUCAGUGUAAUUAUUAACUUUUGUAAUGUUUUGAUUGUAGUGUGUGUAAAAGCAGUAAGUCGGUGCAUUUCUGCAUCGGGUUUUAUCUGUAUAAAACCCGGCUUUCCUAGGGUUUUAUCUAUAUAAAGCCGGGUUUUAUAUAGAUAAAACCCGUGAAUUUAUAAUUAUUAAUUCAAUUCUAUUCAUCAACCC